rfam:Candidatus Margulisbacteria bacterium GWE2_39_32 gwe2_scaffold_105, whole genome shotgun sequence.
AUUUUAGAUUUAUAUAAACCGAAGAAAUAGGUGCCACAAAAGGCUUAAUAUCCUAUGGAGGUUGGAUACAGAGUGAUGGAUUAUAUGAACCAUCGGUAUUCAGCCGAUGGUUUUUUUAUUUUCAGAU